CUCAGAUUGAACGCUGGCGGCAGGCCUAACACAUGCAAGUCGAACGGCAGCACAGAAGAGCUUGCUCUUUGGGUGGCGAGUGGCGGACGGGUGAGUAAUGUCUGGGAAACUGCCCGAUGGAGGGGGAUAACUACUGGAAACGGUAGCUAAUACCGCAUAACGUCGCAAGACCAAAGUGGGGGACCUUCGGGCCUCACACCAUCGGAUGUGCCCAGAUGGGAUUAGCUAGUAGGUGGGGUAAUGGCUCACCUAGGCGACGAUCCCUAGCUGGUCUGAGAGGAUGACCAGCCACACUGGAACUGAGACACGGUCCAGACUCCUACGGGAGGCAGCAGUGGGGAAUAUUGCACAAUGGGCGCAAGCCUGAUGCAGCCAUGCCGCGUGUAUGAAGAAGGCCUUCGGGUUGUAAAGUACUUUCAGCGGGGAGGAAGGCGGUGAGGUUAAUAACCUCGCCGAUUGACGUUACCCGCAGAAGAAGCACCGGCUAACUCCGUGCCAGCAGCCGCGGUAAUACGGAGGGUGCAAGCGUUAAUCGGAAUUACUGGGCGUAAAGCGCACGCAGGCGGUCUGUUAAGUCAGAUGUGAAAUCCCCGGGCUUAACCUGGGAACUGCAUUUGAAACUGGCAGGCUUGAGUCUCGUAGAGGGGGGUAGAAUUCCAGGUGUAGCGGUGAAAUGCGUAGAGAUCUGGAGGAAUACCGGUGGCGAAGGCGG
rnacentral:rRNA from 1 species